UCUGUAGGUGGUUUAAUAAGUCAACUGUUAAAUCUUGAGGCUCAACCUCAAAAUCGCAGUCGAAACUAUUAGACUAGAGUAUAGUAGGGGUAAAGGGAAUUUCCAGUGGAGCGGUGAAAUGCGUAGAGAUUGGAAAGAACACCGAUGGCGAAGGCACUUUACUGGGCUAUUACUAACACUCAGAGACGAAAGCUAGGGUAGCAAAUG
rnacentral:rRNA from 1 species